CUGGGUGCGGCAAAUGCUGGUCCAGGUACUCCAGGGGGUAGGGAGGUCACUUGAUUCAAGGGGGUGGAGACUAACCUGGACAACGCAGUGAGAACCCUUCUCAACCAUUUCCCCAGAUAAAAACAAAGAUUCCACUGUGUAUCUGGGUCACAUUUUCAUUAUCUGCUCAUCACCCGAUGAUCCUCUAGAAUGAGUCCAUUUCCAGCUGCUGGGAGCAAUGGAGCAGCAGUGAACCCGGACCUGCAAGUGUCGCUGUGGCAGGACGCAGGGGUGUGGCCUGAAGUGGCGUGGCUGGACAGAGGCCUCAAGAGUACUUCUCCAGGGAGCUCAGUGGUUAAGAGCACUGGCUGCUCUUCCAGAAGACCUGGGUUCAGUUCUCAGCAUCCAUAUGGCAGCCCACAGAUGUCUGUAACUCCAGUUCCAGAGGAUCCAGAGCCCUUACACAGACAUACACACAGACAAAAAAAUAUUCCUUUACACUAUAGGAAUAUACAUCACUGUGAUUGGUUUAGUAAAGAAGCUGACUGGCCUUUAAUUGGGCAGGAAGAGAAUGGGCAGGAGAGCCAGACUAGGAGAAUGCUGGGAGGAAGAAGGGAGGAGUCUGGAGUCAGCAGCCAGACACAGAGGGAGCAGAAGAUGAUCAUGUGGUACUGAAAGAGGUACCGCCACAUGGCAGAGUGUAAAUAAGAAAUACAGGUUAAUUUAAAAUGUAAGUUAGCUAGUAACAAGCCUGAGCUAUCGGCUGAGUAUUAAUAAGUAACAUUAAGUCUCCAUGCUGGUUUUUUGGGAGCUGGAGGACAGGAUAGAAACUUCCACCUAUGCUCAUUUAAAAAAAAAAAAAAAAGCUUCUCUUAAAAACAAAAAAGAGCCAGGCAUAGUAGCACAGGCCUUUAAUCCCAGGAGGCAGAGGCAGGUGAAUCUCUGAGUUUAAGGUCCGCCUGGUUUACAAAGUAAGGGUCUACAGCUGGGACUACACAGAGAAACCCUGUCUCGAAAACAAAACAAAGGGCUUCUUGUCAUGCUGAAAACAUCUCCAUCUAGUGUAUAUACAUCCAGUCCUCUGGACAAAGGGAAGUGUGUUCAGACUUUUAGCCCAGAACCAUCUUUUUGGUUCCUCAAGUGCCUAUUAGCAUACCAAAGUACACGCUGGCCUCUAGGCUCUCUCAGUGUCUCAGAGUCCAUGCUGGCAUCUUGGUUCUUCUCGCUCCGCCUCCCACUCAAUACGUCUCCAGCUCCUAGGCUUCCCUCCCCCCAGUUUCUCAUCUCUAUAUAACCGUGCCAUUCCUGCAAUGUGCUCUCUUCCCCCUCUCUUGCUCUCCCUGUGUCUCUCUUCUCUAAUGGCCUGGCUCACUCUGCAGGCCAUGUUCAGUGUACGGCUUUCUCUCCCUGCUCUGGACACUCCCAGAUGCCUGCCUCCGGCUGUACUCUCCCUAAUAUCUACAACAAAAACCUUUCCCUUAAAUAUACCUCAGUACGGUCAUGGCCUCAGUUUUUUACACUUUCAGCCCCUUUAGAAUGGUAAUGCAUGUUUUUUGCCAUUGUAUGUCGGAAGUAUGUAAUUUGCUUUUUUUUUUUUUUAAGACAGGGUUUUUCUCUGUAGUCCUGGCUGUCCUGGAACUCACUCUGUAGACCAGGCUGGCCUCAAACUCACAAAAGAUUCAUCUGCCUCUGCCUCCCAAGUGCUAGGAUUAGAGGUAUGCACGACCAUCACCUGACAUUUCUUUUUUCAUUUUUUGAGACAGGGUUUCUCUGUGUAACACCUCUGCUGUCCUGGAACUCAUUCUUUAGACCAGGCUGACCUUGAACUCACAGAGAUCCUCCUGACUCUGCCUCCCAAGGGCUAUUUUUAAUUAUUUAUUUAUAUUCUAUGUAUGAGUGCUUUGCAUGUAUACCUGCAUGCCAGAAGAGUGU